GUGCUGCACUAGUUAAGCUGUAGCGCCAGAACAAUUGCUUGAACAUAACUGGGGCUUCCAAGCCUCUACUGGCAGCCCUUUUAACCACCAGCAACAUGG
rnacentral:snoRNA from 1 species